rnacentral:rRNA from 1 species
AGAGAGAGACAUGCGCGCAUAUCAAUAAGCGGAGGAAAAGAAACUAACAAGGAUUCCCCUAGUAACGGCGAGUGAAGCGGGAAGAGCUCAAAUUUGAAAUCUUAAAGGGUUUCCCUUUACGAAUUGUAGUUUAAAGAAGUGUUUUCUGUUGAGGUUUUGGUAAAAGUUCUUUGGAAUAGGACAUCAUAGAGGGUGAGAAUCCCGUAUUUGACCAUUAUUUCCAGCUUUGUGAUACACUUUCAAAGAGUCGGAUUGUUUGGGAAUGCAGUCCAAAAUGGGUGGUAAAUUUCAUCUAAAGCUAAAUAUUGGCGAGAGACCGAUAGCGAACAAGUACCGUGAGGGAAAGAUGAAAAGAACUUUGAAAAGAGAGUUAAACAGUACGUGAAAUUGUCAAAAGGGAAGCGUUUGACACCAGUGUUGUUUUUCUGAAAAUCAAUUAAAGAACUGUUUAUGCUAAGUUGUUUAGACUUUAUCAGCUAACUGUUUAGUUUUGAGCUUUUCUUUAAUGCACUUUUCAGUUAACAAGUCAACAUCAAUUUCUUUUGCUGUAAAAAAGCUUGAGGAAGGUGGCUUGAGAUUCGUCUUAAGUGUUUAUAGCCUCUUGCCUAUGCAGUCGGAGAGAUUGAGGUCUGCAGCGUAGAUCCUUCGGGGCUAAAUGCAUUUGUGCUAAGUUAUAGCAUUUUAUAGACAACUUGUUGACUAUGAUCAGUCAUGUAGCUUACUCGCUUAUGCUAUUUUACCUACGCUUAGGAUGUUGAUGUGAUACUGCGAGCA